rnacentral:rRNA from 1 species
AACGAACGCUGGCGGCAUGCCUAACACAUGCAAGUCGAACGAGACCUUCGGGUCUAGUGGCGCACGGGUGCGUAACGCGUGGGAACCUGCACUUAGGUUCGGAAUAACUCCCCGAAAGGGGUGCUAAUACCGGAUAAUGUCUUCGGACCAAAGAUUUAUCGCCUUUGGAUGGGCCCGCGUUGGAUUAGCUAGUUGGUAGGGUAAAAGCCUACCAAGGCGACGAUCCAUAGCUGGUCUGAGAGGAUGAUCAGCCACACUGGGACUGGGACACGGCCCAGACUCCUACGGGAGGCAGCAGUGGGGAAUAUUGGACGAUGGGCGAAAGCCUGAUCCAUCAAUGCCGCGUGAGUGAUGAAGGCCUUAGGGUUGUAAAGCUCUUUUACCCGGGAUGAUAAUGACAGUACCGGGAGAAUAAGCGCCGGCUAACUCCGUG